UACGAAGGGGGCUAGCGUUGCUCGGAAUCACUGGGCGUAAAGCGCACGUAGGCGGAUCAGUUAGUCGGGGGUGAAAUCCCGGGGCUCAACCCCGGAACUGCCUUCGAUACUGCUGGUCUGGAGUCCGAGAGAGGUGAGUGGAAUUCCGAGUGUAGAGGUGAAAUUCGUAGAUAUUCGGAGGAACACCAGUGGCGAAGGCGGCUCACUGGCUCGGUACUGACGCUGAGGUGCGAAAGCGUGGGGAGCAAACAGG
rnacentral:rRNA from 1 species